CCCCGGGCCGGUCGGCCCGGGGCUGUGCCCGGCUCGGGGCUUUGUGCCCGGCCCGGGGCAGGACGAUAAACGGCAGCAAAACGCGGUUACCUGAGGAAGAAGGUACGAUUUGAAGCGGCAGCAGAUCCUCUUGAUGAUGAUGUAGAUGUGGCUGAAGAUGAUCAUGGGUGGUGGCAGCACAGGCCGGUCGUGGAACGUCAUGAUCAGCUGGUACCGCUGGAACUUCCACACUUGGUUGGAUAUCGAUUUUACCUCAAAGAAAGUGUAGAAAAGAAGAACACUGGUGAUUCAUGAAAUGGAAAUAUUUCUGAAAGCAGACAGAUGCAUGGAUGAGAGUAAAAAUGCAUGAGCUCCUUGCCUGUGCUGUGAGCUGGAGAUGAAAGGAUAUGUGUGUUUUAACUUCCUGUGCAAGGUAUUUAUGUUUUUCUUCUUCUCUUGGAACUACUGGUAAAACUUUGGUUCAGAAGAACAUUUCAAAAUGAUCUUUGUUGAUCCCUGCAAGUAAACAGGGAUCUUAACACUGUUAUACUCCUGGACAGGAGAAUCCUCCAGACUGUAUCACUGUCAGUGUUAACUGAAUUUGAAUAUAAACUGAGAGGCAAGACAUGCAGGUGGGGAACAGAAAAUUGUUCUGUCCCAGGUGGGUCACAAGAAAACAACAACAACGUAAUCAUAAGGAGAAAACACUGCCUCCAAAUUAAGAGAAAAAGUCUUUAAUUUGGAUCUGAUCAUCUGCCUCAGAAACAGGAAACAGACUCUUACUAUGAAUUCUACUCUUACGGUCUAUCUGGUCAGCGA